rnacentral:tRNA from 1 species
AGGAUGGUAGUCAACUAUGACGCCCGCUUUGCAAGCAGGUAGUGCCCCGGGGCUCAUCUUA